rnacentral:rRNA from 1 species
CCGGCGUCGAGCGCGGACGGGUGAGUAAUGCAUAGGAAUCUGCCCGGUAGUGGGGGAUAACCUGGGGAAACCCAGGCUAAUACCGCAUACGUCCUACGGGAGAAAGCAGGGGCUCUUCGGACCUUGCGCUAUCGGAUGAGCCUAUGUCGGAUUAGCUUGUUGGUGAGGUAAUGGCUCACCAAGGCGACGAUCCGUAGCUGGUCUGAGAGGAUGAUCAGCCACAUCGGGACUGAGACACGGCCCGAACUCCUACGGGAGGCAGCAGUGGGGAAUAUUGGACAAUGGGCGCAAGCCUGAUCCAGCCAUGCCGCGUGUGUGAAGAAGGCUUUCGGGUUGUAAAGCACUUUCAGUGAGGAAGAAGGCCUUGGGGCUAAUACCCCCGAGGAAGGACAUCACUCGCAGAAGAAGCACCGGCUAACUCCGUGCCAGCAGCCGCGGUAAUACGGAGGGUGCGAGCGUUAAUCGGAAUUACUGGGCGUAAAGCGCGCGUAGGCGGCGUGAUAAGCCGGUUGUGAAAGCCCCGGGCUCAACCUGGGAACGGCAUCCGGAACUGUCAGGCUAGAGUGCAGGAGAGGAAGGUAGAAUUCCCGGUGUAGCGGUGAAAUGCGUAGAGAUCGGGAGGAAUACCAGUGGCGAAGGCGGCCUUCUGGACUGACACUGACGCUGAGGUGCGAAAGCGUGGGUAGCAAACAGGAUUAGAUACCCUGGUAGUCCACGCCGUAAACGAUGUCGACUAGCCGUUGGGGUCCUAGAGACCUUUGUGGCGCAGUU